rnacentral:rRNA from 1 species
AGCAGUCGCCGCGGGAAUACGUAGGGUGCGAGCGUUAAUCGGAAUUACUGGGCGUAAAGCGUGCGCAGGCGGUUAUAUAAGACAGAUGUGAAAUCCCCGGGCUCAACCUGGGACCUGCAUUUGUGACUGUAUAGCUAGAGUACGGUAGAGGGGGAUGGAAUUCCGCGUGUAGCAGUGAAAUGCGUAGAUAUGCGGAGGAACACCGAUGGCGAUGGCAAUCCCCUGGACCUGUACUGACGCUCAUGCACGAAAGCGUGGGGAGCAAACAGGAUUAGAGACCCCAGUAGUCCCUGUCUCUUAUAC